rnacentral:rRNA from 1 species
ACGGGGUGCAGCAGGCGCGAAGCCUCCGCAAUGUACGAAAGUGCGAUGGGGGAAUCCCAAGUGUUAUUCUUAACAGAAUAGCUUUUCAUUAGUGUAAAAAGCUUUUAGAAUAAGAGCUGGGCAAGACCGGUGCCAGCCGCCGCGGUAACACCGGCAGCUCGAGUGGUAGCUGUUUUUAUUGGGCCUAAAGCGUUCGUAGCCGGUUUGAUUAGUCUUUGGUGAAAGCUUGUAGCUUAACUAUAAGAAUUGCUGGAGAUACUAUCAGACUUGAAGUCGGGAGAGGUUAGAGGUACUACCGGGGUAGGGGUGAAAUCCUAUAAUCCCGGGAAGACCACCAGUGGCGAAGGCUGUCGGCUAGAACGCGCCCGACGGUGAGGGAUGAAAGCUGGGGGAGCGAACCGGAUUAGAUACCCGGGUAGUCCCAGCUGUAAACGAUGCAGGCUAGGUGUUUGGACGGCCACGUGCCGUUCUAGUGCCGCAGGGAAGCUGUUAAGCCUGCCGCCUGGGGAGUACGGUCGCAAGAUUGAAACUUAAAGGAAUUGGCGGGGGAGCAC